GGCCUUCCACAAAAGCCUCUUCCACCUAGGCUUUCCACAUAAGCCCUUCCCACCCAGGCCUAGGCCUUCCAUAUGAGCUCCUCCCAUCCAGGCCUUCCACAUAAGCCCUGACUUGAGCAUAACUAGAAAACGGUGUGUCACCAGGUUCUUGGGGAAGUGUUAGCCAGGCAAGGUGGUAUACAGCUCUACUCCUAUCCCUGGGAAAACUGAGGCAAGAAGAUCUUAAUUUCAGGUCAGCUUGGUUAUUUAAGGAGACCUUCUUUCAAAGAAAAAAACAAGCUGGGUGGUGGUGGCGCACGUCUUUAAUCCCAGCACUCAGGACGGGCUGAGUCAGGAGGAUGUCUGUGAGUUCGAGACCAGCCUGGUCUACAAGAGCGAGUUUCAGGACAGCCUCCAAAGCCACAGAGAAACCCUGUCUCGAACCCCCCUCAGAAGAAGAAGAAGAAGAAGAAGAAGAAGAAGAAGAAGAAGAAGAAGAAGAAGAAGAAGAAGAAGAAGAAGAAAGAAGAAAAAGCCUGUUAAAUGGUGAUAUUGUCAGAGACACUGAACACUGGGACAAAAAUUAUGAUACGACUCUGUUAAGGAGGCAAAGAAAAUGGCAUAAGCCAAAUUCUCAUUGUCCACAUAACGGGGUCAGUGUAGAAUGCCCAAGUAAGUACAUGAAGAUGGCGGGUACCAUCCUACUUGAAAGUAAGUCUCUAAGGAGACGGGAGAAGUUCUUAAAGAUAAUACCUCUGGUUGCCCCGUGGGGCUGGAGAGAUGGCUCAGUGGUUAAGAGCACCGGCUGCCCUUCUAGGAGACCUGGGUUCAAUUCCCUGCACCUACAUGGUGAUUCACAAUUUUCUGUAGCCUCAGUUGCAGGGGAACUGACACCCCUUCUGGCCUUCUGGGGCACUGCGGUCAUGUGGUGCAUAUACAAAUUUGGAGAUAAGACACUCAUAACACAAAAUAAAAAGGGAAAGUAUUUUUUAAAGGUGGAGAAUAUGAAUUGUGGAGACCUCUGGUCACCCCUGACCCAGCAUCUGGCUGAGAAAUGUAAUAGUUAAUCUACGAGGCGGCUUCCUACAGCUUCUGCGGACAGGCUGGGAUGGAUUCAAGGUAGGCCAAGGGACACAGGCUCUGGCCAGAAGAAGCUCUUAAUACAAUUUUAUAGAAAACAAAACCAAAAGACCUACUUAAUGGUAUUGCUUUGAAAAAACGCCAAGUUCUAAAAAUGAAGUCGAAAGAAAACAGACCCACAUUUCCUUCCUACUUGCAAGCCUGUCUUUCAAAGCAUCCACUGCCUGGAAGGGCCGUUUGAAAAUCAGAUCCGCCCAGCUCUUUCUCAGAGCCCAGCACAGGGCAGGAGCGGGUAACACCGAGGGAGGGAAGCUUGAAGCGGCUUGCAGCGGGUCUGUUCUCAUCGCGGCCGCUCAUCCCUCCCACGUGUCCAACCCAGUGGGUCUGCGCUGCAGCACGCACCGCUUCAGCCCUGAGACUCUGGCCGGGUUCCAGGCGGUGUAGGCCCUGCUGGAAGGAGCCAGAGGAAUGCCUGCAAGGCUGAGCGCAUUCCGGGGCCGUGUGCAAAUGCUGAUGCAAUCACCGCAGCGUUCUGGGGGCAGCCAGGCGCUGUAACCCCCAGCCCAGCAGGAAGGUCGGUGAUGCAAGCUCGUUCAGGAGAAAGUCCCGGCUGCUGAGACGGACCUUGGGCUGUUGGAGCUGCAAGUGCCUGACUCACGCUUCUCAGCCCAUGCCAGCAUUUCAGAGGGAAGCGAUGCAGUCUCCCCCACUUCUUCCUCUGCUCGCCCCCUGAAGGCAAGCGUCCUUUCUCCGCCUUCCACUGACUACACAUAACUCUCUGGGAGAUCUCAGACACACCCCUCACUCAAACCCUCACCCUUGUGGAUCUCAAGCUGUUUCCAGCCUUGACCUCAUUCCUGAGCCCCUCGCCCACCGAGCCAUCCGGGAGCCCAGCAUCUUCGUCACCUCUCAGCAUCUCACACGUAUCCAGAAGGGGUCUGUUCUUCGGCCUUGGACCCGGCUCUCAGCUCCAGCUUAGUUCAUUUCUAGGUGUUCAAGCCUCCACACGCCCCCUCGUGGUGCAGCUUUUUGGCCUUUUUCAUUCCAACUCCAUCACUGUCAAUUCCGGUGCUCAAGUGUUGGCCAAGUGACUGGCCCCGUUUUCCUUUGCUUCCCACUCCUCCAAGCAAUGCAUUCUUCACACUGCCAGAAGGAUGUGGGAUACUGCCUCCACCAGGUGGUCAUUCCCUUAUGAACAAGUGCAAAGCACAAAAAGACAGACAUUGGCAAGUGUGGGCGAGGAUACAGGGCAGCCCAAGCCUUGGUGCAGAUCCUGGUGGGUGUGUGGAAAGGCAAACAACUCUGGAAAACUGGUUGCAUCCAUUAAAGAGGGAAAUACAUAAUCAUGGCCUAACGAGACUGCUGCAAGAUUCAAACCCAGCAAAUACACAGCCACUAGAGCAGCACUCUCAACUUGUGGGUCACGACCCCUUUUUUGGGGGGGUGUCAAAUGACCAUUUCACCAGGGUCACCUAAGACCGUUGGAAAGCACAGAUAGUCAUUAUAAUUCAUAACAGUAGCAAUAAAAAUAAUAUGGUUGGGGGUCAUGAGGAACUGUAUGACAGGGUCUCAGCAUAUUAGGAAGGCUGUGAACCACUGCCCCAGAGCAUCACAGGGCACUGAAGAAAGGUGCUGUCUGUGGAUGGGGCUGUUACAGAGCAGAAAGAAGAAACCCGACUUGUGUGUAGUGUAAGUCACAUACAUAGGUAAGACAGGGGGAAGUCCCUGGUGUGGCCAGGAUGGUGCUUUGUCUGUGUGUAUAGAGUUCCUGAGAGGGACCACCAUGACAUUCAGGAGUUUUUGAUUGUUUGUUUGAUUGUUUUGGUUUUUCGAGACAGGGUUUCUCUGUGUAGCUUUGGAGCCUAUCUUGGCACUCGCUCUGGAGACCAGGCUGGCCUCGAACUCACAGAGAUUUGCCUGCCUCUGCCUCCCGAGUGCUGGGAUUAAAGGCUUGCGCCACCAAUGCCCGGCGACAUUCAGGAGUUUUAGCAAUAAUUUGUAUCUUUUAAAAAUUAUUUCUGGGCUGGAGAGAUUGCUCACAGGUUAAGAGCACUGGCUGCUCUUCCAGAGGUCCUGAGUUCAAUUCCCAGCAACCACAUGGUGGCUCACAACCAUCUAUAACGAGAUCUGGUGCCCUUUUCUGGCCUGCAGGCAUACAUGUAGGCAGAACACUGUAUACAUUAUAAAUAAAUAAAUCUUUAAAAGGUUAUUUUUAGGGGCUGGAGAGAUGGCUCAGAGGUUAAGAGCACCGAUUGCUCUUCCAGAGGUCCUGAGUUCAAUUCCCGGCAACCACAUGGUGGCUCACAACCAUCCGUUAUGAGAUCUGGUGCCCUCUUCUGGUGUGCAGGCCG
ensembl:lncRNA